UACGGAGGGUGCAAGCGUUGUUCGGAAUUACUGGGCGUAAAGCGCGCGUAGGCGGCUUGAUAAGUUGGGAGUGAAAUCCCGGGGCUUAACUCCGGAAUUGCUUUCAAAACUAUCAAGCUAGAGUAUGGCAGGGGACAGUGGAAUUCCUAGUGUAGAGGUGAAAUUCGUAGAUAUUAGGAGGAACACCAGUGGCGAAAGCGACUGUCUGGACCAUUACUGACGCUGAGGCGCGAAAGCGUGGGGAGCAAACAGG
rnacentral:rRNA from 1 species